AAAUAUUAAAAAAUUCUCUCUCUCUCUCUCUCAAAAUAAAAAGAAGGUGUCCAUGGGAGCACCCAGGAGACGUCCCUAACCUGGUGUGGAAAGAGAAGUGGAAGGGUAAGGAGAGGUGGGAGAACCCAGCAGGCAGCUGUAGCAAAAAUGGAGCCUAAAGCCAUUCAAUCAAGGAGAAAAGGAGGAAGGAUAAUUCUGAAGUUGUGAAAGAUAUUUUUGGUAUGGGAUCAAUAUAUCUGAAUUCUU
rnacentral:lncRNA from 1 species